rnacentral:rRNA from 1 species
UACGUAGGGUGCGAGCGUUGUCCGGAAUUAUUGGGCGUAAAGAGCUCGUAGGCGGUCUGUCGCGUCUGCUGUGAAAACCCGAGGCUCAACCUCGGGCCUGCAGUGGGUACGGGCAGACUAGAGUGCGGUAGGGGAGAAUGGAACUCCUGGUGUAGCGGUGGAAUGCGCAGAUAUCAGGAAGAACACCGAUGGCGAAGGCAGUUCUCUGGGCCGUAACUGACGACUGGAGGAGCGAAAGCCG